rnacentral:lncRNA from 10 species
CCACCUUCAGACUUCUUGCUACAUCAGGUUUUAUCUACUACAAAGGAUAUCACUUGGGAAGGAAUUUCUUGAAACUGCUCCCAAGAGAGCCAUUGGACCAUGUGGAAUAUUAACAUCAUCCAGAAUGCUAUGGGGAGAAGACAACUGGAAGCUCCGUGUGGACAAACCUCCUGGACUCUGCCCCACAUAUCUCUUCCCUUGGCUGAUUUGAAUUUGUAUCCUUUCACUGUGAUAAACCACAACCAGAUUAUUACAGCUGUCAGCAAGUUCUUCUAUUGAAUUGUUGAAACUGAGGGUGGUCUUGGGAACCCCUGAACUCUACUGUUGGUGUCAGGAGUGAGGGAAGUCUUGUGGACUGUACUCCCUGACCUCACAGGUGCAUUUUCCAACUUUAUUUGGACAUUCCCCAACAACAUCAUCCCCUUCUUCAAAUAUGUUUCUGCUACAAACAUUGUCCUUUAGAUGGUUCCUUUGCUGCCAUUAUGACUAUGGCGUAAUCUGUAGUAAAGCACCAUUAAGAUGUUAAUACAGAUGUAUGUGUGAAUUAAAAAGUGAUGCUAAAUGCAUAGUAACCAAUUUACUUCGCAUUAAUAAUUUAGCUAUUUUUAUUUGUUUCUAAACAAAAAGCAAAGAGGAUCCAGUCCAGAGAGCAGUUGCAACAGUGUGCACAAUUUUUAUUAAACCGAAAUAAAAGUUCUUGGGCUAUGGAAGUCACCUAAAUUCACUUCUCUUUUCCUAUGAACUUUCACUUUUUUUCCUUCCAACUCUAGUUAGAAGCUGACAGCUGACACGCCCUUCCUUUGUGCAUUUUAUCCUGGGACAAAAUGAGAAGACAUCCUUCAGUUCCCCUCAUCAACAAGAAUUUACCAAGAAGAAUUCUCCAAUGCCAGUGAGAUUCUGAAAUCUCAUAGUUGUACUCAAUUAUAAAUUACUUAUUCACAUGAUCCAGGUUUUACAUGGGUUAAUUUUUUUAGAUAAUCAUCAGAAUGAAAACAUGACAUUUAAAAAAGCACAAAUAAGACUACAAAGAUUGUUACAUGUUCUCAGGAUCCCUGAGUCCAGGUUGAGAAAUGCUCUUUUAAAGACGCCCAGGCACAUGCAUUUUGGUUUAACAAUACUUGAUCUACUAAUAGUUCUCAUCAUGCAGUAAUUUAAGUAUUUGGUUGUAUUUUUGUAAGAAUUAAUAAAAUGUUAUA